CCGGGGCUGCUGGGGACGAACGUGGCGGGUCAGGCCCCGAAGCCCGGGCCGCGGUGGCCGCCUCAGGCACCAACUCUGGGGUGGGGGUGGGAGGAUCUUUCGGGACCGAACUCGCCCCAGCCUCCCUCUUUCUGCUCAAUUGCAAAGCUCCUUUCCCCUGCUGCCUUUGCAUAUUCAUUCUUUCCAGAAAGGCGCCACAUGCAUAUUUCUGCCGUGGCCCCAGAUCCUCCCCUCACCGCCGUUUUGAGCGUUUACACUCAUUACCCAGGUCCGUCUGGGAGACCUGCCGGGCUCCUGCCCUCCUGGCCCGCAGCCUCCUGGCCAAAAUCCUCCCGGGACACCCCACCUGCACUGCUGUGAACGGACCUCCACCUGCCUCCCCAGACCCGCAGCCCCCACCCCGCUCCCUCAAGGUUCUGGGGUGAAGGGGUCUGAAUGGCACUAGGGGAGGCGGCAGGGCGAGCCUGUCCUACCUGCGCCCGAGCACUGCUGAGACAACAUGCCUUCCAGGGCCGCCACGUAGUCCAGCCCCAGCCAGUCGCGGUCCUGGAAGCACCGCAAGCAGACCUGCUUCUCACUGGCCUCAGGCAGGGUCACCCGCCCGGUGCCGCUUGCUGCAAAUUGCUUUACAUACAGUGACCCAAAGAGCAAAUAUCUCCCCACAAACCUAAACAAUUUCGAGAGAGACUUGUGUUCUGCAACCAGUCACAGAAUAUCGGGUGAGCUGGGCGUGUCUUCACUGACCCACCCGCCCAGGGAUGCUGCACUCCUCUCCACCCUGCUCAGAAUCACUGGAAUGUGGCUACAGCCCUAAAAGAGCUACUAAAAAGACCAGAAGUAGUAUGAGAACUUAUGAAUACAAAUAUAAAUAAAGGACAUGUGGAGAACAUGCAUGAAUAUCUA